rnacentral:rRNA from 1 species
UACGGAGGAUGCGAGCGUUAUCCGGAUUUAUUGGGCGUAAAGGGUGCGUAGGCGGCCUGCUAAGUCCGGAGUGAAAGGUACCGGCUCAACCGGUACAGGCUCUGGAAACUGGCGGGCUAGAGAGCAGGAGAGGGCGGUGGAACUCCAUGUGUAGCGGUAAAAUGCGUAGAUAUAUGGAGGAACACCGGUGGCGAAAGCGGCUCUCUGGCCUGUAACUGACACUGAGGCUCGAAAGCGUGGGGAGCAAACAGG